CUGAUGGCGAGUGGCGAACGGGUGAGUAAUGCAUCGGAACGUGCCCAAUCGUGGGGGAUAACGCAGCGAAAGCUGUGCUAAUACCGCAUACGAUCUACGGAUGAAAGCGGGGGAUCGCAAGACCUCGCGCGAUUGGAGCGGCCGAUGUUAGAUUAGGUAGUUGGUGGGGUAAAGGCUCACCAAGCCGACGAUCUAUAGCUGGUCUGAGAGGACGACCAGCCACACUGGAACUGAGACACGGUCCAGACUCC
rnacentral:rRNA from 1 species